GACCACAGCCAUAUCACCCUGCAGCCCAAGACUGGUUACACACUAAAGCUAAGCAUGCCUGAGGCUCCUCAGUACCUGGAUGGGAGACCACAUGGGAAAACUAGGUUGCUGUUGGAA
ensembl:rRNA 5S_rRNA 5S ribosomal RNA